AGGACAGGAAGACUGCCCUUCUGAACCUCCUCUCUGUCAAAGGACUUCUAGGGAUUUUCAGCAUGUGGAGGAAGAUCAGAAAGUCUCCGCGGAACUUCUGCCAAGCUGCUGAAGUCACAGACUCUUCCCACACUCCCCUGGGUCUCGUCAAUUCUUAUCAAGGAUUCAGGGGUGGCAGCAGCAGCCUUCCCACUUCAGAAAAGGAAGUUGCAGAUUUGUCCUGUGACGAUGUUUGCGUGUGGUGACCACCAGAGGGAGCUACUUAAUGACCUUAAUGAUGGAGUGAGGGCAGAGCAGGAAGAAGUGCCCCUUUGAACUCUUGACUCCAAGCUCCUUGAGAAAGAAGCAUAUUGCCGGGAAUGAAAGAUCUCUAAUGAGACCAAAUGGCAGAACAAGAUUUCUCACCUCUAUAGCUCUGAGCUGGAGGGACCACCAAGGUCAAUGAGGACUACAUGAAGCCAAAGGAAUUGUAACAAAUGGAAAUGUGAGUGAAGAGCAUUAUAAAUGACUGAACAACUUAUUUGAAGACCCAGAGAACUCAAAGAACGGGAGCCAGGGAGUGA